AUCAAAGCUCAUUUACUUGAUAUAAUCAUGUCGAACUUGCAACAAUCCUACAACGCUGGACAGACCAAGGGCCAAUCUCAGGAGAAGGCUGAGCAAUGGACAGAAUCUGCCAAGGAAACUGCACACAGCGCCCGCGACAAGACUGCUAACGCGGCUCAGUCCACCAAAGAAUCUGCCCAACAUGGCCAACAACAAGCCUCUGGUUUCAUCCAACAAACUGGAGAGUCAGUGAAGAACAUGGCUCAGGGUGCUGU